rnacentral:rRNA from 1 species
GACGAACGCUGGCGGCGUGCUUAACACAUGCAAGUCGAACGAAGUGGCGAACGGGUGAGUAACGCGUAAUCAACCUGCCCUUCAAAGGGGGACAACAGUUGGAAACGAGUGCUCAUACCGCAUACUGAAGGAGGGGAGUGCGUCUGAUUUGCUAGGUGGAGGGGUAAAGGCCCACCAAGGCGAAGAUCAGUAGCCGGUCUGGGAGGAGGAGUGGACAAAAUGGGACUGAGACACCGCCCAGACUCCUACGGGAGGCAGCAGUGGGGAAUCUUCCGCAAUGGACGAAAGUCUGACGGAGCAACGCCGCGUGAGUGAUGACGGCCUUCGGGUUGUAAAGCUCUGUUAAUCGGGACGCGGUACCGGAAUAGAAAGCCACGGCUAACUACGUGCCAGCAGCCGCGGUAAUUC